rnacentral:miRNA from 1 species
AAGGAAGGUUGUGGCUCAGAGGU